rnacentral:miRNA from 1 species
CCCACCGCUCUCCUCCCGCC